UUAUAUGAGAGUUUGAUCCUGGCUCAGGAUGAACGCCGGCGGUGUGCCUAAUACAUGCAAGUCGAACGCGUUGG
rnacentral:ncRNA from 1 species